rnacentral:rRNA from 1 species
CUACGGGUCGCUGCAGUUAGGUAUAAUCUACAAUGCGCGCAAGCGUGAUAGUUUGAGCCAGAGUGUUUUUCAUUGAAAGACUUUUAUGGAAUGUAAAAAGUUCCACGAAUAAGGACUGGGUAAGACUAGUGCCAGCCGCCGCGGUAAUACUAGCGGUCCAAGUCGCAGCCAUUUUUAUUGGGUCUAAAACAUCCGUAGCUUGCUUGAUAAAUCUUCUGUGAAAUUUUAUAUCUCAAAUAUGAAGCGUGCAGAAGGUACUGUCAAGCUAGAGACUGGUAGACGUAAAGAGUAUGUUCAGAGUAGCGGUAAAAUGUGUUAAUCCUGGACAGACUAACAAGAGCGAAGGCACUUUACGAGAACAGUUCUGACAGUAAGGGAUGAAGGCUAGGGGCGCAAAACGGAUUAGAUACCCCGGUAGUC